AUCGUCGACGACGAUGACCUCAUCAGCUACAUCAUCGUCGGCCUUGAGGAAGACUAUGAACCUGUCAUCCAAUCUAUUGUUGGGCGCCCAGAUAAAGUCACCAUCGGUGAGGUCUUUGCUCAGUUUCUAAGCUUCGAGG
rnacentral:snoRNA from 1 species